AUGUGCAAAGGCCCUGAAGCCCUGGGGAGCUUGGUGUGUGAAAGAGGCUACAAGCCAGGCUGCACCCAGAGCAGAGAGAGAGAGGGCCUCAGCCCGAAUGACGCUGGCGAGUUUGGGGACCUGUACCUGCUGCCAGAAUGCUCCGCGGGCAACCGCAUCAUCGGUGCCAAGGACCAUGCGUCCAUCCAGACGAACGUGGCUGAGGUUGACAAGCUACAGGCAGAUUUAAUGGCCAGUUUAAAACCUAUGCCAUCUGCGGGGCCAUUCGCAGGAUGGGUGAGUCAGAUGAUUCCAUUCUCCAAUUGGCCAAGGCCGACGGCAUCGUUUCAAAGAAUUUCUGACUGGAGAGAAUCGGGGAUGUGGAAAAUAUGUCAUAAAUAAAUAGUGAA